GAAAGCCUCUGUCCCCACUGUCUUCCGAGAGCUGUGGUUUGACCAGGCAGCCCCCUAUGCCUCUUCCAGACUCAGGCUUCUCUCUGCUUCUGCAGUUUCUCCAGGACUCUUCAUGUUCUCCCUCAUUGACAAAGGGCAGUGGAUUUCUGGAAAUCUAUUUUCAGUAGACUUCAGUAACUCAAUUUUACCUAUCCACACUGUGUGGUAUAGUAUCAUCAUGUAAAAAUCAGAAGCAUCAAAAAUCAGACAAACCUAGACUCACUCCUCAAUUCUUUUACCAGGUGAAUGAAAAAGUGAUUAUUUUAUAAAAGGAAUGCUAGUUAGCAUUCCUGGGAGAAGUGAGUCUCUAUGGCUUGCCCUUUUGAAACUGGUUUCCAAACAAAAUGCAUACUCAUGAAUAUUUAUUGAUCAUAAAAGUUUGGCAGAUUAGAGCAGAAGAAGGGUAGCAUGAGGAGUACCAACUCUUAAACCUGAGGACUCAUGUCUGCACUACACCUUAUACAACAGUGUCUGUGAAAUGGUUAAAGAGUAAAAACCCAAUCUGUUGCAGCCAGAAAGGAGUACUCCACCUAUUACACAGCAAGGCCAAUAGAUUGCUUGUUAUUUUAAGUGUUAUUUAAAUUAUCUCCCUAGGGAAGAUAAUUUUCAGCUGCCUCUCCAUCUUCUUAAAGAAGAGCAGAAUUUAACACAUCUCGUCUUUGUGAAAAACAAAGACACUGAAGCAAUGGUCAGAAAGAAAAGGAAUAAAGACAAAGUCAAGGAAAGAGCCAUACAAGGACAGUUAGCAUAAGAUAGUUGUUCUCAAUGUAGGCUAUCCAGAACAGCACUGUCAACCUCACCGCGGAACUUGAAAGAAGUGCAAAUCCUUGAGACUGACUCCAAGUCUACUGAAUCAGAAAUUCUGGGGGUGAAGUCCAUCAAUCUUUGGUUGAACAAAACACAACCAAUCUCACAUUUAUGGAAGUUUCAUAUAUGAAGUCAUAAAAGUCACUAGAAAGGCAAGAAGAACCAGGGAGCUGACAUGUUCCUAGAUCCAGGAGCCACCCAGUGGAUUGACGAUUCUUAUCAUAAUAAGACUUCCUUGAACCAUCCCCCACCCAACCCUUUUCCAGAAAGAGUUGAAGACAAAUCUACAGUGAAUAGGAGGCUGAGGCCACCACACCACAGCUUCCAGUGCAAGUGUCCUUGUGCCCUGGUGCCUGAUAUCCAGCUCCGGCAGCCUAGAAAAUCAGUUAGGCUUUUCAGUCACAGCACCCUCUGUGACAAACGUGUGGAGCACCGCACGACUUCUUCAACCAGCUGGUUUUUCUGGCAUUCGAAUAAAAGUAAAAAUAGAAAACAAAGAGGGAGAAGAAAAGUGACAAGCUGAAACCUGCGAAGAGAAAGAGGACAAGAACCUGUAUGUACCCAGUGGUGUGGAUAAAUCGUUAUGUAUCUGCCUACGCAUUGUCAGAAAUACAGCAGCCUAAGUAGCCAUUCAAGGAAUUUAGAGUAAAGUACCAUGGUCAGAAUUCAAGAUAUAGCCACUACAGGAUCUGAAAUGCCAUCUGUUCCAACCGCACGACAUCCCCAUUCAGCAGGCUCACAAGGCUGGCAUAGACAGGAAGAGGGACCCCUCUGUUGUCCUCUACUCUCUUCUUCAACUGAGCAAUGAGCAGAAGAUUUAAGUUUGGGAUUUUUUCACUAUUUUUCCCAAACGCAUGAACAGGUUCUUCUCAAACUGCAAGAGUCGAUUCAAAAUCCAGACAGCUUUCACCACCCAAGGAUUCAGGCACCUACAAUGACAAAUUGUAAAUAGCCACGUCCAAUAAGUUUAUGCGUAACCUUACCUGACUUUUCCAUGGAACUCCAUUAUAUAACUAGAAGCAUUUCUCCACAAGCGGAAAAAAAAUGGAACCAGAAGAGAAACAAAGCACAUUUGAGCAUACAAUAAAUAAUGAUAUGAAAUGAACAAGUUGAUCUGGUCUUGAGGGAGGAGGAGGCACAGGAACACAGUAAAGGAACCUAUCUGAGGAGCUGCAGACAUGAACCAACAAAGGUCAAACCCCACCUGGAAAAUGAAUUGUGUCCAAAUGAGACCCCUUUAAUGACAGGAUUUGAAACAAUCUCAUUAUGAAACAAUUGCAGUCAAUGGGAAUCCUGAGUCUUCAAGGAAGUAAAAAGAAAAAAAAAUCUCUGUUAUCCUCACAUAUUUAAAGAUUCUCAUAUAAAAGCUUCUCCGAAGAGAACAGCUUGUCCUGUUUAGCUUCAAAGAAGAGAAUGAGGAGGAAGGUCGAGGGAAAAUUACAGAAAAGCAGACUUUGACUUGACACGUGGAAGGACUUCUCACUAAUGCUAUUCCCAAAUACAAUGAGUUGUUUCCGUGAUUGGAGGACUUGAAGAUGUAUAAGUUAUCCACAGGGAUGUUGCAGAGGAAAUUUGACCAUCAUAUGGGUGAAUUAACUGAUAUCUAUGAUCUUUAUUUCUCCUGAGAGUCCAUAAAAGUGAGAUAAUUGUUUGGAAAUUUGACGUAUACCUCUUGGAAUCUGAGGAGCAUGAAGAUCAGUGUAUGACUCUUGCCUGAAAUCAAGGAGAAAGGAAAACCCUGUCAAUGGCACAAAUUUCCAAAGUUUGGGAUGACAAGGACAUCCAGAAGAGCCUGAAGCAAUACUGCAAGUGGGUGCUUUGGUACUGCUUUGAAGCAUCUUUCCAGACUCUGCAGUAGCCAAGGCCUGUGACUCCAGUCCCUGAGAAAGUACCAUCAGGAGCAAUACGAGUCCUGUCCAUCUCUGAAAACAUGCUGCUGAUGUUGGAUUAAUAGUUAGACAAACAACUAAGAAGAUCAGAAGUAACAUGCUACUUUG
rnacentral:lncRNA from 1 species